rnacentral:lncRNA from 1 species
GCAGAGUGACGGGAACUGGAGCGCUGGGGCUAGUGGUGUGCGCAGGGCAAGCGCGUCUGUACACAUGUACCCCUGUGUCUUGACUAUCUCUUGUGAGCCUCUCGCCUUCCGGAAGACCCGAAACCACCCCAGUGGGCCGGCCAGCUGGCGAUCGCGCGGGCCCCGGCAGUCAUCGCGUGUUCCUUCCUCGCGCCCAGUCCCUACCUUCUCCUUGGGCACAGUUCCUUGUUCUCGGGCUCGUCAUCUCUCCCUCCAGAAAGGCGCUUGGGGGCAAUUGAGCAUACCUCCAGACCUUUGAAUGAGGAUCGGAGCAGAGAUGUCACCAAGCUUUUGGCACACAUGCCAAACAGCAACCUGAGCGGGCCAUUCCUUUGGACAAUGACGACAAAUGUAUCAACAAAAGCCUGUCCCCACCCGCCAAUCCAGCAUCCCUGGGUUCAGUUCAGCUGCUAGGACAUCAGAGGCCUACGUUUUUAAGGACCAAGUAAAGCAAAUGUCACUGUAGUAGAACCCCAAUUUUGGCUUCAAAGCUGAGUCUGUUUGGAUAUGGAAGUUACUCCUAAACUGGGCAACACUAGGUCUCCUCCAGAAGGAUCAGCUUUGUGAAGAGUGAGUAUAGAAUGGGAGAGAAAUUAAGACUGACUGAUAUACCUGCCCAGCGUGGUGACCAGUGUUGGUAAUCUUAGCCUUUCGGAGGUAGAGACAGGAGAAUCUCUACAAAAAAUGAGGCCAUUGUAGUCUACUGAGAGAGUGCCAGGAUAGUCAGGGCUAUGUAGUUGAGACUCUGUAUCAAAGAGACCAAAACCUUUCAUCCAAAAACAAACUUACAAACAAAAUCUUUGUCUCUCUCUUAUUCCCUCCCACUUUUUAUCUACUUGACAAGUUUCUCCUUUGAAUUGACAUAAAACAAACACUUGGGAAAACGCAUAAAAACCUAGAGUAUAGACCGACCAGUUAUGGCACAGUGAACAGGCCCAUGUAGCCACCACCGAGAGGAAGAAUUCAUUUAUCACUGCCACCCUAGAAGCCCCCUUGGUCACUACCUCACCUCUCCUCCCUAAGGUAGCCUCUAUCUGGCCCUGUUAGUUUGUCCGCCAGCUUUUGGACUUAUGUAUGGACUUAUGUAGUGGAACCACUCAGGAGGUACUAGUGGUUUCUGUACCCAGUUUCUCUCACCCCUGUAUACACAUGACAGCAUCAGUUAAUUCACCUUUAUUACAGUGUAAUGCCUCUAAGGAAGCACACGCCAUUUGUAUCUGCUGACGGGUUUAAGUUGUUUCCAGGUAUGAUUAUU